GCCCACGUGGGACAGUGGUACUCCAUACGCUUGGAGAGCGUACUUCCGUAAGGAUUCCCAGGUUCGAAUCCUGGCGUGGGCG
rnacentral:tRNA from 1 species